UACGUAGGGGGCAAGCGUUAUCCGGAUUUACUGGGUGUAAAGGGAGCGUAGACGGCAGCACAAGUCUGGAGUGAAAUCCCAUGGCUUAACCAUGGAACUGCUUUGGAAACUGUGCAGCUGGAGUGCAGGAGAGGAAAGCGGAAUUCCUAGUGUAGCGGUGAAAUGCGUAGAUAUUAGGAAGAACACCAGUGGCGAAGGCGGCUUUCUGGACUGAAACUGACGCUGAGGCACGAAAGCGUGGGGAGCGAACAGG
rnacentral:rRNA from 1 species